ensembl:rRNA 5S_rRNA 5S ribosomal RNA
UAAAACAGCCUUAUCACCCUGCAGCCCCAGAGCGGUCACUCACUGAAGCUAUGCAAGGCUGAGCCUGGUUAGUAGCUAGAUGGGAGACCACAUGGGAACACUAGACUGCUGUUGGCA